rnacentral:rRNA from 1 species
UACGUAGGGGGCUAGCGUUGUCCGGAUUUAUUGGGCGUAAAGAGCGUGUAGGCGGUCCGGUAAGUCCGCUGUGAAAGUCGGGGGCUCAACCCUCGAAUGCCGGUGGAUACUGUCGGGCUAGAGUGCGGAAGAGGCGAGUGGAAUUCCUGGUGUAGCGGUGAAAUGCGCAGAUAUCAGGAGGAACACCGAUUGCGAAGGCAGCUCGCUGGGACGUAACUGACGCUGAGACGCGAAAGCGUGGGGAGCAAACAGG